AGCGGCGGACGGGUGAGUAACGCGUGGGUAACCUGCCCUGUACACACGGAUAACAUACCGAAAGGUAUGCUAAUACGAGAUAAUAUGCUUUUAUCGCAUGGUAGAAGUAUCAAAGCUUUUGCGGUACAGGAUGGACCCGCGUCUGAUUAGCUAGUUGGUAAGGUAACGGCUUACCAAGGCGACGAUCAGUAGCCGACCUGAGAGGGUGAUCGGCCACAUUGGAACUGAGACACGGUCCAAACUCCUACGGGAGGCAGCAGUGGGGAAUAUUGCACAAUGGGCGAAAGCCUGAUGCAGCAACGCCGCGUGAGCGAUGAAGGCCUUCGGGUCGUAAAGCUCUGUCCUCAAGGAAGAUAAUGACGGUACUUGAGGAGGAAGCCCCGGCUAACUACGUGCCAGCAGCCGCGGUAAUACGUAGGGGGCUAGCGUUAUCCGGAAUUACUGGGCGUAAAGGGUGCGUAGGUGGUUUCUUAAGUCAGAGGGGAAAGGCUACGGCUCAACCGUAGUAAGCCUUUGAAACUGGGAAACUUGAGCGCAGGAGAGGAGAGUGGAAUUCCUAGUGUAGCGGUGAAAUGCGUAGAUAUUAGGAGGAACACCAGUUGCGAAGGCGGCUCUCUGGACUGUAACUGACACUGAGGCACGAAAGCGUGGGGAGCAAACAGGAUUAGAUACCCUGGUAGUCCACGCCGUAAACGAUGAGUACUAGCUGU
rnacentral:rRNA from 1 species